rnacentral:rRNA from 1 species
AUUGAACGCUGGCGGCAGGCCUAACACAUGCAAGUCGAGCGAGCGGCGGACGGUUGAGUAAUGUCUGGGAAACUGCCUGUUGGAGGGGGAUAACUACUGGAAACGGUAGCUAAUACCGCAUACCAUCAGAUGUGCCCAGAUGGGAGUAGCUAGUAGGUGGUGUAACGGCUCACCUAGGCGACGAUCCGUCGCUGGUAUGAGAGGUUGACCAGCCACACGGGAAUGGCGACACGGUCCAGACUCUUACGGGAGGCAGCAGUGGGGAAUAUUGCACAAUGGGCGUAAGCCUGAUGCAGCAAUGCCGCGUGUGUGAAGAAGGUCUUCGGGUUGUAAAGCACUUUCAGCGGGGAGGCGUUACCCGCAGAAGAAGCACCGGCUAACUCCGUGCCAGCAGCCGCGGUAAUAC